rnacentral:rRNA from 1 species
GAAGACAUGAAGCUAGGCGAGUCAACCUGCUGAAUUUAAGCAUAUAAGUAAGCGGAGGACUUGAAACCAAACAGGAUUCCUUCAG